GGUCAGAUGGCCGAGCGGUUAUGGCGUCAGGUUAAGGUCAGCUUAACACAACUUCCUGAUGGAGCAAUCCUCCUGGGUUCGAGUCCCAGUCUGAUCA